AUUGAACGCUGGCGGCAGGCCUAACACAUGCAAGUCGAACGAGUGGCGGACGGGUGAGUAAUGUCUGGGAAACUGCCCGAUGGAGGGGGAUAACUACUGGAAACGGUAGCUAAUACCGCAUACCAUCGGAUGUGCCCAGAUUGGAUUAGCUAGGAGGUGGGGUAACGGCUCCCCUAGGCGACGAUCCCUAGCUGGUCUGAGAGGAUGCACAGCCAAACUGGACAUUAGAAACGGUCCAGACGCCUACGUGAGGCAGCAGUGGGGAAUAUUGCACAAUGGGCGCAAGCCGGAUGCAGCCAUGCCGCGUGUAUGAAGAAGGCCUUCGGGUUGUAAAGGACUUUCAGCGAGGAGGCGUUACUCGCAGAAGAAGCACCGGCUAACUCCGGGCCAGCCGCCGCGGUAAUUC
rnacentral:rRNA from 1 species